rnacentral:lncRNA from 1 species
GCAGCAAAGGAAACCUAAAGGCAAUAAAAGCUCCAUUUCAGGAACCGAACAGGAAAUAUUCCAAGUAGAAUUAAACCUUCAAAAUGCUUCUCUGAAUCAUCAAGGGAUUGAUAAAAUAUAUGACUGCCAAGGUUUACUGCCACCUCCAGAGAAGCUCACUGCUGAGGUCCUAGGAAUCAUUUGCAUUGUCCUGAUGGCCACUGUGUUAAAAACAAUAGUUCUUAUUCCUUGU